UACGUAGGGGGCAAGCGUUGUCCGGAAUCAUUGGGCGUAAAGCGCGUGUAGGCGGCCCGGUAAGUCCGCUGUGAAAGUCGGGGGCUCAACCCUCGAAUGCCGGUGGAUACUGUCGGGCUAGAGUGCGGAAGAGGCGAGUGGAAUUCCUGGUGUAGCGGUGAAAUGCGCAGAUAUCAGGAGGAACACCAAUUGCGAAGGCAGCUCUCUGGGACGGUACUGACGCUGAGACGCGAAAGCGUGGGGAGCGAACAGG
rnacentral:rRNA from 1 species